rnacentral:rRNA from 1 species
UACGUAGGGUGCGAGCGUUGUCCGGAAUUAUUGGGCGUAAAGCGUGCGCAGGCGGUGAUGUAAGACAGAUGUGAAAUCCCCGGGCUCAACCUGGGAACUGCAUUUGUGACUGCAUGGCUAGAGUACGGUAGAGGGGGAUGGAAUUCCGCGUGUAGCAGUGAAAUGCGUAGAUAUGCGGAGGAACACCGAUGGCGAAGGCAAUCCCCUGGACCUGUACUGACGCUCAUGCACGAAAGCGUGGGGAGCAAACAGG